GAUGAACGCUGGCGGCGUGCCUAAUGCAUGUAAGUCGAGCGAACGGACGAGAAGCUUGCUUCUCUGAUGUUAGCGGCGGACGGGUGAGUAACACGUGGAUAACCUACCUAUAAGACUGGGAUAACUUCGGGAAACCGGAGCUAAUACCGGAUAAUAUUUUGAACCGCAUGGUUCAAAAGUGAAAGACGGUCUUGCUGUCACUUAUAGAUGGAUCCGCGCUGCAUUAGCUAGUUGGUAAGGUAACGGCUUACCAAGGCAACGAUGCAUAGCCGACCUGAGAGGGUGAUCGGCCACACUGGAACUGAGACACGGUCCAGACUCCUACGGGAGGCAGCAGUAGGGAAUCUUCCGCAAUGGGCGAAAGCCUGACGGAGCAACGCCGCGUGAGUGAUGAAGGUCUUCGGAUCGUAAAACUCUGUUAUUAGGGAAGAACAUAUGUGUAAGUAACUGUGCACAUCUUGACGGUACCUAAUCAGAAAGCCACGGCUAACUACGUGCCAGCAGCCGCGGUAAUACGUAGGUGGCAAGCGUUAUCCGGAAUUAUUGGGCGUAAAGCGCGCGUAGGCGGUUUUUUAAGUCUGAUGUGAAAGCCCACGGCUCAACCGUGGAGGGUCAUUGGAAACUGGAAAACUUGAGUGCAGAAGAGGAAAGUGGAAUUCCAUGUGUAGCGGUGAAAUGCGCAGAGAUAUGGAGGAACACCAGUGGCGAAGGCGACUUUCUGGUCUGUAACUGACGCUGAUGUGCGAAAGCGUGGGGAUCAAACAGGAUUAGAUACCCUGGUAGUCCACGCCGUAAACGAUGAGUGCUAAGUGUUAGGGGGUUUCCGCCCCUUAGUGCUGCAGCUAACGCAUUAAGCACUCCGCCUGGGGAGUACGACCGCAAGGUUGAAACUCAAAGGAAUUGACGGGGACCCGCACAAGCGGUGGAGCAUGUGGUUUAAUUCGAAGCAACGCGAAGAACCUUACCAAAUCUUGACAUCCUUUGACAACUCUAGAGAUAGAGCUUUCCCCUUCGGGGGACAAAGUGACAGGUGGUGCAUGGUUGUCGUCAGCUCGUGUCGUGAGAUGUUGGGUUAAGUCCCGCAACGAGCGCAACCCUUAAGCUUAGUUGCCAUCAUUAAGUUGGGCACUCUAAGUUGACUGCCGGUGACAAACCGGAGGAAGGUGGGGAUGACGUCAAAUCAUCAUGCCCCUUAUGAUUUGGGCUACACACGUGCUACAAUGGACAAUACAAAGGGCAGCGAAACCGCGAGGUCAAGCAAAUCCCAUAAAGUUGUUCUCAGUUCGGAUUGUAGUCUGCAACUCGACUACAUGAAGCUGGAAUCGCUAGUAAUCGUAGAUCAGCAUGCUACGGUGAAUACGUUCCCGGGUCU
rnacentral:rRNA from 1 species